UCAAUCCAUCUGCUUGUACAGUAUCCAAUUUUCAAAUGCCAAAAUGUUACUCAUCUUUUCUGUUUUAAUCUUUUGCCUAAGCUGUGGUGAGGCUAAUGAGAAGCUCAUCAGACCAGACAAAACCUUUGUGUCUAUAACUGAAGGAAGCAACAUCACGCUGUCCUGUACAUAUGAUGGAUCAGCUAACAGUCUCCACUGGUACCGACAGAUGUCUGGAUCAAGACCCGAGUUUCUAGUGUUGAUUGUUGAGUCCUCUAAAUUUGUAAUACCAUCUAAUCCACCUCAACCACACAUGUCCAUCAGACUCCAUAAUAAACAAGUGUAUCUGGAGAUCUCAUCUGCUGCUGUAUCAGACUCUGCUCUCUAUUACUGUGCACUGCAGCCCACAGUGACAGGAAAGACAACAACACUGUACAAAAACAUGGGUACUGUAAUUGUGUAA